GACGAACGCUGGCGGCGUGCUUAACACAUGCAAGUCGAACGGAAAGGCCCUGCUUUUGUGGGGUGCUCGAGUGGCGAACGGGUGAGUAACAUGUGAGUAACCUGCCCUUGACUUUGGGAUAACUUCAGGAAACUGGGGCUAAUACCGGAUAGGAGCUCCUGCUGCAUGGUGGGGGUUGGAAAGUUUCGGCGGUUGGGGAUGGACUCGCGGCUUAUCAGCUUGUUGGUGGGGUAGUGGCUUACCAAGGCUUUGACGGGUAGCCGGCCUGAGAGGGUGACCGGCCACAUUGGGACUGAGAUACGGCCCAGACUCCUACGGGAGGCAGCAGUGGGAAAUAUUGCACAAUGGGCGGAAGCCUGAUGCAGCAACGCCGCGUGCGGGAUGACGGCCUUCGGGUUGUAAACCGCUUUCGCCUGUGACGAAGCGUGAGUGACGGUAAUGAGUAAAGAAGCACCGGCUAACUACGUG
rnacentral:rRNA from 1 species